rnacentral:rRNA from 1 species
GAAAUCGGAACAGCCCAAACCGUUGGGGUUUCCCCGGCGGGGUUGUAGGCCUUCAAUAUCGAAUCAACAAUCUAGUGGAACUUUUCUGGAAAGUUAGACCACAGAGGGUGACAGUCCUGUAUACGACAGCAGCGUUGAUAGUAGGAGGUUCCUGAGUAGGUCGGGUCACGUGAAACCCCGACUGAAUCUACGGGGACCAUCCCGUAAGGCUAAAUACUCUCUAAUGACCGAUAGUGAACUCAGUAGCGCGAGUGAAAGAUGAAAAGCACCCCGUCUAGGGGAGUGAAAUAGUAUCUGAAACCAUGUGCCUACAAGCGGUCGGAGCACUAUGAUUCGUUCAGUGUGACGGCGUGCCUUUUGCAUAAUGAGCCUACGAGUUAAUCUUCUCUAGCAAGAUUAAGUAUUUAAGAUAUGUAGUCGUAGCGAAAGCGAGUCUUAAUAGGGCGAUUUAGUUAGAUACUGCAGACCCGAAACAAAGUGAUCUAUUCAUGGGCAGGUUGAAGCUAGUGUAAGAGCUGGUGGAGGACCGAACCGGUGGAUGUUGAAAAAUCCUCGGAUGACCUGUGAAUAGGGGUGAAAGGCCAAUCAAACUUUGUGAUAGCUGGUUCUCUCCGAAAUAUAUUUAGGUAUAGCGUUAUAAAUUAGUCUAUGGGGGUAGAGCACUGAUUAGGCUAGGGCUGCAUACAGCGGUACCAAACCUUGUCAAACUUCAAAUACCAUAGGUGUAAUUAUAGCAGUCAGGCGUAGGGUGAUAAAAUCCUAUGUCGAGAGGGGAACAACCCAGACUACCGACUAAGGUCCCCAAGUCAUCUUUAAGUGGAAAAUGAUGUAGAGUUACUUAGACAACCAGGAGGUUGGCUUAGAAGCAGCCAUCCUUUAAAGAAAGCGUAAUAGCUCACUGGUCUAAACAAGCCGUCCUGCGCCGAAGAUGUAACGGGGCUCAAGCCAUGCACCGAAACUGCGAGGUUCUUUUGAACCGGUAGCGGAGCGUUCUGUAAGCUGAUGAAGGGUAACCGCGAGGAAGCCUGGAGGUAUCAGAAGUGAGAAUGCUGACAUGAGUAACGACAAAGAGUGUGAGAAACACUCUCGCCGAAAGUCCAAGGGUUCCUGUGCAAUGCUAAUCAGCGCAGGGUUAGCCGGCCCCUAAGUCGAGGCAGAAAUGCGUAGACGAUGGGAAGCAGGUUAAUAUUCCUGCACCUGGAGGUAGUGACGGAUGCCGUGUGUAGUUCAUCCUUAUUGGAUUGGAUGGGCUGCGAAGGCGUUCCAGGAAAUAGCUCCACCGUAUAGACCGUACCCCAAACCGACACAGGUGGACAGGUAGAGUAUACUAAGGCGCUUGAGAGAACUAUGUUGAAGGAACUCGGCAAAAUGCCCCCGUAAGUUCGCGAGAAGGGGGCCCAAUCUUUAGGCAACUAGAGAUUGGGGGCACAGACCAGGGGGUGGCGACUGUUUACUAAAAACACAGGGCUCUGCGAAGUCAUCGUAAGACGACGUAUAGGGUCUGACGCCUGCCCGGUGCCGGAAGGUUAAGGGAACCUGUUAGGUCUUCGGACCGAAGCAGUGAACCGAAGCCCCGGUAAACGGCGGCCGUAACUAUAACGGUCCUAAGGUAGCGAAAUUCCUUGUCGGGUAAGUUCCGACCUGCACGAAUGGUGCAACGAUCUGGGUACUGUCUCAACCAUGAGACUCGGUGAAAUUGAAGUAUCGGUGAAGAUGCCGAUUACCCACUACGGGACGAAAAGACCCCGUGAACCUUUACUACAGCUUUGCACUGAACAUUGAACCUACUUGUGUAGGAUAGCUGGGAGGCUUUGAAGCAGUGACGCCAGUCAUUGUGGAGCCAAUCUUGAAAUACCAGCCUGGUAUGUUUGAUGUUCUAACUUAGGCCCGUUAUCCGGGUUGAGGACAGUGUAUGGUGGGUAGUUUGACUGGGGCGGUCUCCUCCCAAAGAGUAACGGAGGAGCACGAAGGUACCCUCAGCAUGGUCGGAAAUCAUGCAAUGAGCGCAAGAGUAGAAGGGUGCUUGACUGCGAGACAGACACGUCGAGCAGGUACGAAAGUAGGUCUUAGUGAUCCGGUGGUUCUGUAUGGAAGGGCCAUCGCUCAACGG